CUCAGGAUGAACGCUAGCUACAGGCUUAACACAUGCAAGUCGAGGGGCAGCGAGGGCGUAGCAAUACGCCUGUCGGCGACCGGCGCACUGGUGAGUAACACGUAUGGAACCUGCCCGCCACAGGGGGAUAACCGGUAGAAAUGCCGACUAAUACCCCGUAUGCCCACAGGGGCGCAUGCCCUGGUGGGGAAACAUUCAUGGGUGGCGGAUGGCCAUGCGGCGCAUUAGCUGGUUGGCGGGUAACGGCCCACCUAGCCGACGAUGGGUAGGGGUUCUGAGAGGAAGGUCCCCCACAUUGGAACUGAGACACGGUCCAAACUCCUACGGGAGGCAGCAGUGAGGAAUAUUGGUCAAUGGGCGAGAGCCUGAACCAGCCAAGUAGCGUGUGGGACGAAUGCCCUAUGGGUUGUAAACUGCUUUAUAAGGGAAUAAAGUGAGCCUCGUGAGGCUUUUGCAUGUACCUUAUGAAUAAGGACCGGCUAAUUCCGUG
rnacentral:rRNA from 1 species